GUUUGGUGGAACUUUUAAUUGGGUUGAUUGGUUUUAAUUGCCUUUUGCAUCAUGCUAUAUGGAUGUGGUUAGUAUAUGGGCUAUACACCGAAAAGUUUGGAUCUAGUAUCAAGUUGGUU
rnacentral:rRNA from 1 species